AUUGAACGCUGGCGGCAUGCUUUACACAUGCAAGUCGAACGGCAGCAUGAUCUAGCUUGCUAGAUUGAUGGCGAGUGGCGAACGGGUGAGUAAUACAUCGGAACGUGCCCUGUAGUGGGGGAUAACUAGUCGAAAGAUUAGCUAAUACCGCAUACGACCUGAGGGUGAAAGUGGGGGACCGCAAGGCCUCAUGCUAUAGGAGCGGCCGAUGUCUGAUUAGCUAGUUGGUGAGGUAAAGGCUCACCAAGGCGACGAUCAGUAGCUGGUCUGAGAGGACGAUCAGCCACACUGGGACUGAGACACGGCCCAGACUCCUACGGGAGGCAGCAGUGGGGAAUUUUGGACAAUGGGCGAAAGCCUGAUCCAGCAAUGCCGCGUGUGUGAAGAAGGCCUUCGGGUUGUAAAGCACUUUUGUCCGGAAAGAAAUGGCUCUGGUUAAUACCUGGGGUCGAUGACGGUACCGGAAGAAUAAGGACCGGCUAACUACGUG
rnacentral:rRNA from 1 species